rnacentral:rRNA from 2 species
CGUAAAGGGCUCGCAGGCGGUUUCUUAAGUCUGAUGUGAAAGCCCCCGGCUCAACCGGGGAGGGUCAUUGGAAACUGGGGAACUUGAGUGCAGAAGAGGAGAGUGGAUUCCACGUGUAGCGGUGAAAUGCGUAGAGAUGUGGAGGAACACCAGUGGCGAAGGCGACUCUCUGGUCUGUAACUGACGCUGAGGAGCGAAAGCGUGGGGAGCGAACAGGAUUAGAUACCCUGGUAGUCCACGCCGUAAACGAUGAGUGCUAAGUGUUAGGGGGUUCCGCCCCUUAGUGCUGCAGCUAACGCAUUAAGCACUCCGCCUGGGGAGUACGGUCGCAAGACUGAAACUCAAAGGAAUUGACGGGGGCCCGCACAAGCGGUGGAGCAUGUGGUUUAAUUCGAAGCAACGCGAAGAACCUUAGCCAGGUCUUGACAUCCUCUGACAAU